rnacentral:tRNA from 1 species
CGUGGCCGUGUUCGAGGACAAGGUGAUCGCCUACGAGGCGGUCCAGGCGAUCGGCGUUCCGGUGCCGCCGUGGUGGCGG